rnacentral:rRNA from 1 species
UGGUGGGGUGACUUGUCUGCUUAAUUGCGAUAACGAACGAGACCUUAACCUGCUAAAUAGCCCGCAUUGCUCCGACAGUGCGCUGGCUUCUUAGAGGGACUUUCGGCUCAAGCCGAAGGAAGUUUGAGGCAAUAACA